ACUUAAAUUGAAGAGUUUGAUCAUGGCUCAGAUUGAACGCUGGCGGCAGGCCUAACACAUGCAAGUCGAGCGGUAGCACAGAGAGCUUGCUCUCGGGUGACGAGCGGCGGACGGGUGAGUAAUGUCUGGGAAACUGCCUGAUGGAGGGGGAUAACUACUGGAAACGGUGGCUAAUACCGCAUAAUGUCGCAAGACCAAAGUGGGGGACCUUCGGGCCUCAUGCCAUCAGAUGUGCCCAGAUGGGAUUAGCUAGUAGGUGGGGUAACGGCUCACCUAGGCGACGAUCCCUAGCUGGUCUGAGAGGAUGACCAGCCACACUGGAACUGAGACACGGUCCAGACUCCUACGGGAGGCAGCAGUGGGGAAUAUUGCACAAUGGGCGCAAGCCUGAUGCAGCCAUGCCGCGUGUGUGAAGAAGGCCUUCGGGUUGUAAAGCACUUUCAGCGGGGAGGAAGGCGUUAAGGUUAAUAACCUUGGCGAUUGACGUUACCCGCAGAAGAAGCACCGGCUAACUCCGUGCCAGCAGCCGCGGUAAUACGGAGGGUGCAAGCGUUAAUCGGAAUUACUGGGCGUAAAGCGCACGCAGGCGGUCUGUCAAGUCGGAUGUGAAAUCCCUGGGCUCAACCUGGGAACUGCAUUCGAAACUGGCAGGCUAGAGUCUUGUAGAGGGGGGUAGAAUUCCAGGUGUAGCGGUGAAAUGCGUAGAGAUCUGGAGGAAUACCGGUGGCGAAGGCGGCCCCCUGGACAAAGACUGACGCUCAGGUGCGAAAGCGUGGGGAGCAAACAGGAUUAGAUACCCUGGUAGUCCACGCCGUAAACGAUGUCGAUUUGGAGGUUGUGCCCUUGAGGCGUGGCUUCCGGAGCUAACGCGUUAAAUCGACCGCCUGGGGAGUACGGCCGCAAGGUUAAAACUCAAAUGAAUUGACGGGGGCCCGCACAAGCGGUGGAGCAUGUGGUUUAAUUCGAUGCAACGCGAAGAACCUUACCUGGUCUUGACAUCCACAGAACUUUCCAGAGAUGGAUUGGUGCCUUCGGGAACUGUGAGACAGGUGCUGCAUGGCUGUCGUCAGCUCGUGUUGUGAAAUGUUGGGUUAAGUCCCGCAACGAGCGCAACCCUUAUCCUUUGUUGCCAGCGGUCCGGCCGGGAACUCAAAGGAGACUGCCAGUGAUAAACUGGAGGAAGGUGGGGAUGACGUCAAGUCAUCAUGGCCCUUACGACCAGGGCUACACACGUGCUACAAUGGCAUAUACAAAGAGAAGCGACCUCGCGAGAGCAAGCGGACCUCAUAAAGUAUGUCGUAGUCCGGAUUGGAGUCUGCAACUCGACUCCAUGAAGUCGGAAUCGCUAGUAAUCGUAGAUCAGAAUGCUACGGUGAAUACGUUCCCGGGCCUUGUACACACCGCCCGUCACACCAUGGGAGUGGGUUGCAAAAGAAGUAGGUAGCUUAACCUUCGGGAGGGCGCUUACCACUUUGUGAUUCAUGACUGGGGUGAAGUCGUAACAAGGUAACCGUAGGGGAACCUGCGGUUGGAUCACCUCCUUACCUUAAAGAA
rnacentral:rRNA from 1 species